CCAAUAGCGUAUAUUAAAGUUGUUGCAGUUAAAAAGCUCGUAGUUGAAUUUCGGAAUCAAUAUAUCGGUCGUGCCUCUGGUACGCACUUAUUUAUUGAUUUCUCACUUCUGAUGAAUCAUAAUGUCAUUAGUUUGGUGUUAUGAGGAAUCAGGACUGUUACUUUGAAAAAAUUAGAGUGUUUAAAGCAGGCUCGCGCUUGAAUACAUUAGCAUGGAAUAAUGAAAUAGGAUGUUUGAUCUUAUUGUGUUGGUUUCUAGGAUCGACAUAAUGAUUAAUAGGGAGAGUUGGGGGCAUUAGUAUUCAAUUGUCAGAGGUGAAAUUCUUGGAUUUAUUGAAGACUAACUACUGCGAAAGCAUGUGCCAAGGAUGUUUUCAUUAAUCAAGAACGAAAGUUAGGGGAUCGAAGACGAUCAGAUACCGUCGUAGUCUUAACCAUAAACUAUGCCGACUAGGGAUCGGAUGAUGUUAUUUUUUAAUGACUCAUUCGGCACCUUACG
rnacentral:misc_RNA from 1 species